GACGAACGCUGGCGGCGCGCUUAACACAUGCAAGUCGAACGGAAAGGCCUGCUUUCCCUUGUGGAUUGCGGGUACUCGAGUGGCGAACGGGUGAGUAACACGUGAGUGAUCUGCCCCCAACUUGGGUAUAAGCCUGGGAAACUGGGUCUAAUUCCCGAUAGGACUGCAGGGUGGUGCCUGUGGUGGAAAACGAUUUUCUAGUGGUUGGGGAUGAGCUCGCGGCCUAUCAGCUUGUUGGUGGGGUAAUGGCCUACCAAGGCGGCGACGGGUAGCCGGCCUGGGAUGGUGGACUGCCACAUUGGGACUGAGAUACGGCCCAGACUCCUACGGGAGGCAGCAGUGGGGAAUAUUGCACAAUGGGCGGAAGCCUGAUGCAGCGACGCCGCGUGGGGGAUGACGGCCUUCGGGUUGUAAACUCCUUUCGACCGCGAGGAAGCCACCUGGUUGGAAGGGUGGUGACGGUAGUGGUAGAAGAAGCACCGGCUAACUACGUG
rnacentral:rRNA from 1 species